rnacentral:rRNA from 1 species
GGUUUGAUCAUGGCCUGUACUGAACGCUGGCGGGAUGCUUUACACAUGCAAGUCGAACGGCAGCACGGACUUCGGUCUGGUGGCGAGUGGCGAACGGGUGAGUAAUGUAUCGGAACGUGCCUAGUAGCGGGGAUAACUACGCGAAAGUAGCUAAUACCGCAUACACUCUUCGGGGGAAAGCGGGGACCUUCGGGCCUCGCACUAUUAGAGCGGCCGAUAUCGGAUUAGCUAGUUGGUGGGGUAACGGCUCACCAAGGCGACGAUCCGCAGGCUGGUUUGAGAGGACGACCAGCCACAUCGGGACUGGAGACACGGCCCAGACUCCCUACGGAGGAAAGGGGGAAUUUUGGACAAUGGGAAACCCCUGAUCCAGCCAUCUCAAGCGUGUGCGAUGAAGGCCUUCGGGUUGUAAAGCACUUUUGGGCAGGAAAGAAACGGCACGGGAUAAUACCCCGUGCAACUGACGGUACCUGCAGAAUAAGCACCGGCUAACUACGUGCCAGCAGCCGCGGUAUACGUAGGGUGCAAGCGUUAAUCGGAAUUGCUGGGCGUAAAGCGUGCGCAGGCGGUUCGGAAAGAAAGAUGUGAAAUCCCAGAGCUUAACUUUGAACUGCAUUUUUAACUACCGAGCUAGAGUGUGUCAGAGGGAGGUGGAAUUCCGCGUGUAGCAGUGAAAUGCGUAGAUAUGCGGAGGAACACCGAUGGCGAAGGCAGCCUCCUGGGAUAACACUGACGCUCAUGCACGAAAGCGUGGGGAGCAACAGGAUUAGAUGCCUGUAGUCACGCCGUAACGACAACUGUCAUUGGGCCUCGGCCCCGUGUGCAGCUAACGCGUGAAGUCGAACGCCUGGGGAGUCGUCGCAGGAUUAAAAAACUCAAAGGAAUUGACGGGGACCCGCACAAGCGGUGGAUGAUGUGGAUUAAUUCGAAGCAACGCGAAAAACCUUACCUACCCUUGACAUGUCUGGAAUCCCGAAGAGAUUUGGGAGUGCUCGCAAGAGAACCGGAACACAGGUGCUGCAUGGCUGUCGUCAGCUCGUGUCGUGAGAUGUUGGGUUAAGUCCCGCAACGAGCGCAACCCUUGUCAUUAGUUGCUACGGAAAGGGCACUCUAAUGACUGCCGGUGACAAACCGGAGGAAGGUGGGGAUGACGUCAAGUCCUCAUGGCCCUGGCGGUAGGGCUUCACACGUCAUACAAUGGUCGGGACAGAGGGUCGCCAACCCGCGAGGGGACAACCCAGAAACCCGAUCGUAGUCCGGAUCGCAGUCUGUAACUCGACUGCGUGAAGUCGGAAUCGCUAGUAAUCGCGGAUCAGCAUGUCGCGGUGAAUACGUUCGCCCGUACACACCGCCCGUCACACCAUGGGAGUGGGUUUUACCAGAAGUAAAGUUAGCCUAACCGUAAGGAGGGCGAUUACCACGGUAGGAUUCAUGACUGGGGUGAAGUCGUAACAAGGUAG